rnacentral:rRNA from 1 species
GACGAACGCUGGCGGCGUGCUUAACACAUGCAAGUCGAACGGAAAGGCCCUGCUUUUGUGGGGUGCUCGAGUGGCGAACGGGUGAGUAACACGUGAGUAACCUGCCCUUGACUUUGGGAUAACUUCAGGAAACUAGGGCUAAUACCGGAUAGGAGCUCCUGCUGCAUGGUGGGGGUUGGAAAGUUUCGGCGGUUGGGGAUGGACUCGCGGCUUAUCAGCUUGUUGGUGGGGUAGUGGCUUACCCAGCGUUUGACGGGUAGCCGGCAUGGGAGGUUGACCGGCCACAUUGGGACUGAGAUACGGCCCAGACUCCAACGGGAGGCAGCAGGGGGGAAUAUUGCACAAUGGGCGGAAGCCUGAUGCAGCAACGCCGCGUGCGGGAUGACGGCCUUCGGGUUGUAAACCGCUUUCGCCUGUGACGAAGCGUGAGUGACGGUAAUGGGUAAAGAAGCACCGGCUAACUACGUG